rnacentral:rRNA from 1 species
UACGGAGGGUGCAAGCGUUAUCCGGAUUCACUGGGCUUAAAGGGUGCGUAGGUGGGCAGGUAAGUCAGUGGUGAAAUCUCCGGGCUUAACUCGGAAACUGCCAUUGAUACUAUCUUUCUUGAAUACCGUGGAGGUCAGCGGAAUAUGUCAUGUAGCGGUGAAAUGCUUAGAUAUGACAUAGAACACCAAUUGCGAAGGCAGCUGGCUACACGAAUAUUGACACUGAUGGACGAAAGCGUGGGGAGCGAACAGG